rnacentral:lncRNA from 1 species
GAAAAAUCUACGAAUGUACUACCGAUAACUUUGCCUUAAAUAAAAGUUUCUUUCAUAUUUGCAUAUCUUUUCUUUUGGCAUGAGCUCAUAAUAACAGGGAGUAGCUCCUUCCGACAAUCAAAACCAAGCGUGUUAGGAACAGGAGGAGGACCUCGUCCUAACACAAGCAAAGUCGAAGGUCUGAUUAUUUAAAGAUCGAAUGGGGGGAGAGGCCCUGACAACGGCCCUUACGUGCCCCCACAACCAUGUUAGGAAUAGGAGGAGAACCUCGUCCUAACAUGAGCAAAGUCAAAGACCCGAUUAUUUAAAGAUCAGAUGGAGGGAGAGGCCC